UAUUUUAAUGAGACCAUAUAUUUAUAUAAAACAUUCUAAAAAUUAUUAUUUUAUUAUUUUAUCGAUUUGUGUCAUAUUUUGAAUCGGCCUAACUCGGGACUGGAAAUAUUUAUUAAUUUAUAAUAUUUAUUAAUUUAUCGGAUAUUAAUUUGUAGAGUUUCUACUGUACCAUCAUUAACAUCUUCACUGAAUCAGCAAUGACAAAAAUCAUAACAUUAUACUAAUUCUUUGUCGUUAUCGCCAUUAAAACAAUAUGAGUAAAACUUUACACACAAACGUAAAUACAAACAAAAUUAAUUUGACAAAGUGGGUGAAACAGCCUUCAAGAAUCAAGAGAGUCCAAAUUAGCCUUCAAUGACACAUAACAUAAUCGCCAAGUAAAUUAUUUUCGCUAUUAAUCAUUCUCAAUUACUACAUAUGAGUAUGUUG
rnacentral:lncRNA from 1 species